GGGAUCAUUAAAGAGUUCUAUAACUCCCAAACCCAUGUGAACAUACCUAACGUUGCCUCGGCAGGUCGCACCUACCUUGUAGCACCCUACCCUGUAGGGCCUACCCGGGAGGUGCGGGUAAGCCUGCCGGCGGCCCACCAAACUCUGUUUGAUAUUGAAUUCUGAACCUAUAACUAAAUAAGUUAAAACUUUCAACAACGGAUCUCUUGGUUCUGGCAUCGAUGAAGAACGCAGCGAAAUGCGAUAAGUAAUGUGAAUUGCAGAAUUCAGUGAAUCAUCGAAUCUUUGAACGCAUAUUGCGCCCAUUAGUAUUCUAGUGGGCAGGACCGUUCGAGCGUCAUUUCAACCCUUAAGCCUUCGUUGCUUAGUGUUGGGAGCCUACGGCAACGUAGCUCCUCAAAGUUAGUGGCGGAGUUGGUUCACACUCUAGACGUAGUAAUUUUUUAUCUCGCCUAUUAGUUGGACUAAUCCCCUGCCGUAAAACCCCCAAUUUAUCAAGGUUGACCUCGAAUCGGUUCAGACAAACUCGCUAAAUUGAAGCAUCUUAGUCAGCGAAGGAAAAGAAACCAACAGGGAUUGCCCUAGUAACGGCGAGUGAAGCGGC
rnacentral:rRNA from 1 species